rnacentral:rRNA from 1 species
AGCAGCCGCGGUAAUUCCAGCUCCAAUAGCGUAUAUUAAAGUUGUUGCAGUUAAAAAGCUCGUAGUUGAAUUUCGGGGUCAGUAGGUUGGUCAUGCCUUCGGUAUGUACUGGUCUCACUGAUUCCUCCCUCUUGAAGAACUGUAAUGUCAUUAAUUUGGUGUUGCGGGGAAACAGGACUGUUACUUUGAAAAAAUUAGAGUGUUUAAAGCAGGCUCACGCUUGAAUACAUUAGCAUGGAAUAAUGAAAUAGGACGUUCGAUCCUAUUUUGUUGGUUUCUAGGAUUGACGUAAUGAUUAAUAGGGAUAGUUGGGGGCAUUAGUAUUCAAUUGUCAGAGGUGAAAUUCUUGGAUUUAUUGAAGACUAACUACUGCGAAAGCAUUUGCCAAGGAUGUUUUCAUUAAUCAAGAACGAAAGUUAGGGGAUCGAAGACGAUCAGAUACCGUCGUAG